rnacentral:rRNA from 1 species
AGUGAACGCUGGCGGUAGGCCUAACACAUGCAAGUCGAACGGCAGCACAGUAAGAGCUUGCUCUUACGGGUGGCGAGUGGCGGACGGGUGAGGAAUACAUCGGAAUCUACUUUUUCGUGGGGGAUAACGUAGGGAAACUUACGCUAAUACCGCAUACGACCUACGGGUGAAAGCAGGGGAUCUUCGGACCUUGCGCGAUUGAAUGAGCCGAUGUCGGAUUAGCUAGUUGGCGGGGUAAAGGCCCACCAAGGCGACGAUCCGUAGCUGGUCUGAGGGGAUGAUCAGCCACACUGGAACUGAGACACGGUCCAGACUCCUACAGGAGGCAGCAGUGGGGAAUAUUGGACAAUGGGCGCAAGCCUGAUCCAGCCAUACCGCGUGGGUGAAGAAGGCCUUCGGGUUGUAAAGCCCUUUUGUUGGGAAAGAAAAGCAGCAGGUUAAUACCCCGCUGUUCUGACGGUACCCAAAGAAUAAGCACCGGCUAACUUCGUG